GCGCGUACAGGUCCCUCCCGCAGGCGCUGUCGGGCGGAAGGCGUUUCUGAUGACGAAGAAAGUGGUGAGAUUAAUCCUGAGCUGCUCCCUAGUAGCGGUGAGAAUCCUGAGCUGUUUAAGAAAUUUAGAUCUCCAAUCAUCUCACUAUCCCUCAGUUUAAUAUAUUCUUUUUCAAUCGAGGAUAUGCAAUUUUUCUUGAGUUGCUGAAGACAUUGGGCCAUUGGGGUAUGCCUCCGGUUAAUUAACCUGAGCAUAAGGGAAAAUGUUUAGCCUGUGAACUUAACAUACAUGUAGUAUGCAUGUGCCCUCCAUGGCAGAAACUUCCAUUUUUUGUUAAACAAGAGUCCAUGUUGGCUGAGUCGUGGAUCAUUUAGAACCGUCUAGUUCAGUCCCUGCCUGUUUAUGAGCUUCACAUAGCCUCCCAUGAUAGUUUCUGAAGGCAGGACAGACCAUGUGGAAAUGAGAACAGAUGUACGGGCAUGGUUCUGUACAGGUGUUAGGUAAGUGUUUUUGCUGAUUGUGUGAAAUUUUGCAGGUACUGGUAGCAUGCUAUAUUAAUGCUUUGGACGAAAUUACAUUAUUCGUCACCCCUGCUCAGCUCAGAGAGGUAUCUCAUCCCGUCGUCCCCUGAUCUCUGACUCUCAAUGCUUGGACGAAAUUACAUUAUGAAACUUAUAUGCAGUAAGGCCUAGAUUGGCAGUGUAAUUUUUAAAAUACCGCAGUAUUGGAAAAAUUCGGCAUCAUGUUUAACUAGUGUGGACCUUGCUAUGCAGAGGCCUAGUUUGCCAUGUUGAUAAUUGUGAGUUACAAACCAAGCUUUCCGUUUGAGAAAAAAGAGGUCUGGAACUCUUUUUCUAGAAGUUAGAAAAAAACAUUGUAUCAGGAAUACAAGUGAAUAUGAAACUAUUGUUGUUUGUUUAGCCAAACACCUCACAGUUUUCAAAACUACAGUUUUAUAGAAACCAUAGUAUUCUGAUUGAGCUAAGCUAGCAGUGUAUCUUCACCUGUGGGGAUCAAGGUGCAUAUGCUCCUUGUCUUUUUUCACAUUCUAGACUAGAUUGAAUAAAAGGAAUUCCUAAUCAACUGUAAAAAAAUAAAUUUAAUUACCAAUCUGCACGCACAAGACAUAUAUCUUUCUCAUCAUUUUAAACAGUAACAAUUGAUACUCCACGUAUACAUUUUCUAAGAAUUACUUCAUAUAUGUAGGCUGGCAGCGGUGUUCACAAAUCACCACGGAGAAAGUAAAGAUCUCGAGAGGAUUCUGUUUGUUUGCUCUAUGUAUUGUCUUUCGAAGCGCGCGCAGGAAAAAACACACACAAAAAUGCUAGUUCAUUUUACUGCCUUUUGUAGCAAAAGAAAAUGAAAAACACAAAAAAUGUUUGUUUCUCUGCCUUUUGUAGUAAUGGAGAAUGAAAGUCACAAAAAAUGUUUGGAGGAGUGGUCUCUGUGAUUUGGGGGUAGUGGCCCGGGUGUGGUCGGGCUCGAAUUCUCUGCUAUGGGUUUGGAGGAGUAAUGUUUCUGGUUCUGCAGAUAUUCAAGCUCUGG
rnacentral:lncRNA from 1 species